UAACCUCUGGCCAAAGUGGCGCAUGUUG
rfam:Cryomorphaceae bacterium BACL29 MAG-121220-bin83 contig00021.0_to_4_1_121220-bin83, whole genome shotgun sequence.